rnacentral:rRNA from 1 species
UACGGAGGGUGCAAGCGUUAAUCGGAAUUACUGGGCGUAAAGCGUGCGCAGGCGGUUUGUUAAGUCUGUUGUGAAAUCCCCGAGCUCAACUUGGGAAUUGCAAUGGAUACUGGCAGGCUGGAGUAUGGUAGAGGAAGGUGGAAUUCCCGGUGUAGCAGUGAAAUGCGUAGAGAUCGGGAGGAACACCAGUGGCGAAGGCGGCCUUCUGGACCAAUACUGACGCUCAUGCACGAAAGCGUGGGAAGCGAACCGG